UACGUAGGGGCCGAGCGUUGUCCGGAAUUACUGGGCGUAAAGCAUGCGCAGGCGGUUUUGCAAGCCAGAUGUGAAAUCCCCGGGCUUAACCUGGGAAUGGCAUUUGGGACUGCAAGGCUGGAGUGUGGCAGAGGAGACUGGAAUUCCUGGUGUAGCAGUGAAAUGCGUAGAUAUCAGGAGGAAUACCGAUGGCGAAGGCAGGUCUCUGGGCUGACACUGACGCUCAUGCACGAAAGCGUGGGGAGCAAACAGG
rnacentral:rRNA from 1 species